UUGUUCUUUGUCGUCCAUAAAAGGAUAGAAAAUUAUUGUUCUUACUUUAUGUGCCUAAGGCUGAUUUUCGUGAAGCCACAUGUAGGCAGUAUGAAGAGAAUGCCUGCAAUCGUGGUGGGUAUUGCAACUUUAUGCAUCUGAAAAGGAUUGGCAGAGAGUUGAGACGCCAAUUGUUUGGGAGGUAUCGCUCAAGGCAUAGCCGCAGUCGGAGCAGAAGUUGAAGUCCUUAUAGGCAUCGCAGCUAUGAUGAGCGCCCUCAUGGAGGUUGUGGGCACAGUAGAAGGUAUGAUGACGAGGAUUACUACCAUGAGAGUCGUAGCAAGAGGAACAGGACUACAAGCCCUGGCCACAGAAGAGGACGAAGCAGGAGCCCGGGGGGAAGAAGGAACCGGAGUCCAGUAAGAGAAGGAAGUGAGGAGAGACAUGCCAAAAUCGGGCAGUGGAACAGGGAAAAGGAACAGUCAGAAAAAGCUAAUAAGGAUAAUACUUAUGGUUCCAACAAUAACAACGAAAGCAAUGAAGAUCAGUACUAUGGAAACCAGCAGCGGCGAGGAUAUGGAUAUUGAUCCAACUAAUAUUUUCUGGUUUCAUGCUGUGACAGAGGAUUGGAUUUAACUGGGUUUUGCAGAUCACAUUUGAAAGGAUUGUGAAAGACUCCCACUGAGUUAGUAAAGUGUGUGGCAGAGAAGAAAUAAAAUUUACUUUUUGGAAGUUAAAAUCUUGUUAAAACAGGUGUUUAAUUGUGUUUUUUGCUUGUAUUUCAUAGGUAUUAAGUCUGCAUGAAACCAAUGUUUCAAUUUGUGUUCUGAUAA